rnacentral:rRNA from 1 species
UACGAAGGGGGGCGAGCGUUGUUCGGAAUUACUGGGCGUAAAGGGCGCGUAGGCGGCCUCCGCAAGUCAGUUGUGAAAUCUCCGAGCUUAACUCGGAAAGGUCAACUGAUACUGCGGGGCUAGAGUGCGGAAGGGGCUACUGGAAUUCUCGGUGUAGCGGUGAAAAUGCGUAGAUAUCGAGAGGAACACCUGCGGCGAAGGCGGGUAGCUGGGCCGACACUGACGUGAGGCGCGAAAGCUAGGGGAGCGAACGGG